UACGGGGGGGAGCAAGCGUUGUUCGGAUUUAUUGGGCGUAAAGGGCGCGUAGGCGGCCACCGCAAGUCGACUGUGAAAUCUCCGGGCUUAACCCGGAAAGGUCAGCCGAUACUGCGGGGCUAGAGUGCAGAAGGGGCAACUGGAAUUCUCGGUGUAGCGGCGAAAUGCGUAGAUAUCGAGAGGAACACCUGCGGCGAAGGCGGCAUCCUGGACUGGUCCUGACACUCAUGAGCGAAAGCGUGGGGAGCGAUCCGG
rnacentral:rRNA from 1 species